rnacentral:rRNA from 1 species
AACGAACGCUGGCGGCAUGCCUAACACAUGCAAGUCGAACGAGAUCUUCGGGUCUAGUGGCGCACGGGUGCGUAACGCGUGGGAAUCUGCCCUUUGGUUCGGUAUAACAGUUGGAAACGACUGCUAAUACCGGAUGAUGACGAAAGUCCAAAGAUUUAUCGCCAGAGGAUGAGCCCGCGUAGGAUUAGCUAGUUGGUGUGGUAAAGGCGCACCAAGGCGACGAUCCUUAGCUGGUCUGAGAGGAUGAUCAGCCACACCGGGACUGAGACACGGCCCAGACUCCUACGGGAGGCAGCAGUGGGGAAUAUUGGACAAUGGGCGAAAGCCUGAUCCAGCAAUGCCGCGUGAGUGAUGAAGGCCUUAGGGUUGUAAAGCUCUUUUACCCGGGAUGAUAAUGACAGUACCGGGAGAAUAAGCUCCGGCUAACUCCGUGCCAGCCGCCGCAGUAA